UCCUACGGGGGGCAGCAGUGGGGAAUAUUGCACAAUGGGGGAAACCCUGAUGCAGCGACGCCGCGUGAAGGAAGAAGUAUUUCGGUAUGUAAACUUCUAUCAGCAGGGAAGAAAAUGACGGUACCUGACUAAGAAGCCCCGGCUAACUACGUGCCAGCAGCCGCGGUAAUACGUAGGGGGCAAGCGUUAUCCGGAAUUACUGGGUGUAAAGGGAGCGUAGACGGUGAUGCAAGUCUGGAGUGAAAGGCGGGGGCCCAACCCCCGGACUGCUCUGGAGACUGUGUAACUUGAGUGCAGGCGAGGUA
rnacentral:rRNA from 1 species